rnacentral:rRNA from 1 species
AUUGAACACUGGCGGAAUGCUUUACACAUGCAAGUCGAACGGCAGCACGGACUUCGGUCUGGUGACGAGUGGCGAACGGGUGAGUAAUGUAUCGGAACGUGCCCAGGCGUGGGGGAUAACGUAGUGAAAAUUACGCUAAUACCGCAUACGAUCUAUGGAUGAAAGCGGGGGAUCGCAAGAACUCGCGCGAUUAGAGCGGCCGAUAUCAGAUUAGGUAGUUGGUGGGGUAAAGGCCCACCAAGCCAACGAUCUGUAGCUGGUCUGAGAGGACGACCAGCCACACUGGAACUGAGACACGGUCCAGACUCCUACGGGAGGCAGCAGUGGGGAAUUUUGGACAAUGGGCGAAAGCCUGAUCCAGCCAUUCCGCGUGCAGGAUGAAGGCCCUCGGGUUGUAAACUGCUUUUGUACAGAACGAAAAGGUUUCUACUAAUACUAGGAGCUCAUGACGGUACUGUAAGAAUAAGCACCGGCUAACUACGUGCCAGCCGCCGCCGUAA